AUUAGAGGAGAUUUUAUUAAGAUGCAGCUGAGGCUGUAGGCAUUUGUUCUGCCAAUAAGCUUGGGGGGUAUUUACAGAAGUUAAAAUGCAGAGCCAGCCAAUAAAUCCAUCCCACGUGUAAUGAAGCGACCUUCCUCGGAAGCAAAGCCCAUCUCCCUGGAAAGCCAGAGAGGCCUUUGUUGGGUUUGCUGAAGCUAACUGCAGCUUGAAAGAUGGCAGCUUUGUCUAAGAGGUUGGAGAAAUUGACUCUAACAAAUGCACCGCGGCUGUUCUGGAUGGCCUAGCAUUAAUAAAGCAAACCAAUUUUGAAUGCCCAAGGCCGGGACUUCAGGGACAGCAGAUGGUGCCCAGGAUACCCAUUCUCACAUUAGCAUGAGAAUAGC